rnacentral:miRNA from 1 species
CUGGGUAGCUUAAGCUGUUCCUGAUCUGACUCUGUAGACCAGGCUGGACUUAAAAUCAGUGAUCCUUCUACCUCUGCCUCCCUAGUGUUGAGAUUACAGGUGUUCCUUCCAUGCC